GAGUUUGAUCCUGGCUCAGGAUGAACGCUGGCGGCGUGCUUAACACAUGCAAGUCGAACGGGAAUUACUUUAUUGAAACUUCGGUCGAUUUAAUUUAAUUCUAGUGGCGGACGGGUGAGUAACGCGUGGGUAACCUGCCUUAUACAGGGGGAUAACAGUCAGAAAUGACUGCUAAUACCGCAUAAGCGCACAGAGCUGCAUGGCUCGGUGUGAAAAACUCCGGUGGUAUAAGAUGGACCCGCGUUGGAUUAGCUAGUUGGUGAGGUAACGGCCCACCAAGGCGACGAUCCAUAGCCGGCCUGAGAGGGUGAACGGCCACAUUGGGACUGAGACACGGCCCAGACUCCUACGGGAGGCAGCAGUGGGGAAUAUUGCACAAUGGGGGAAACCUUGAUGCAGCGACGCCGCGUGGAGGAAGAAGGUCUUCGGAUUGUAAACUCCUGUUGUUGAGGAAGAUAAUGACGGUACUCAACAAGGAAGUGACGGCUAACUACGUGCCAGCAGCCGCGGUAAAACGUAGGUCACAAGCGUUGUCCGGAAUUACUGGGUGUAAAGGGAGCGCAGGCGGGAAGACAAGUUGGAAGUGAAAUCUAUGGGCUCAACCCAUAAACUGCUUUCAAAACUGUUUUUCUUGAGUAGUGCAGAGGUAGGCGGAAUUCCCGGUGUAGCGGUGGAAUGCGUAGAUAUCGGGAGGAACACCAGUGGCGAAGGCGGCCUACUGGGCACCAACUGACGCUGAGGCUCGAAAGUGUGGGUAGCAAACAGGAUUAGAUACCCUGGUAGUCCACACCGUAAACGAUG
rnacentral:rRNA from 1 species